ACGGGUGAGUAAUACAUCGGAACGUGCCCAGUAGUGGGGGAUAGCCCGGCGAAAGCCGGAUUAAUACCGCAUACGACCUACGGGUGAAAGCGGGGGAUCGCAAGACCUCGCGCUAUUGGAGCGGCCGAUGUCAGAUUAGCUUGUUGGUGGGGUAAAAGCCUACCAAGGCGACGAUCUGUAGCUGGUCUGAGAGGACGACCAGCCACACUGGGACUGAGACACGGCCCAGACUCCUACGGGAGGCAGCAGUGGGGAAUUUUGGACAAUGGGCGCAAGCCUGAUCCAGCCAUGCCGCGUGCGGGAAGAAGGCCUUCGGGUUGUAAACCGCUUUUGUCAGGGAAGAAACGGCUCUUACUAAUAUUAGGAGCUAAUGACGGUACCUGAAGAAUAAGCACCGGCUAACUACGUGCCAGCAGCCGCGGUAAUACGUAGGGUGCAAGCGUUAAUCGGAAUUACUGGGCGUAAAGCGUGCGCAGGCGGCUUUGCAAGACAGAUGUGAAAUCCCCGGGCUCAACCUGGGAACUGCAUUUGUGACUGCAUGGCUAGAGUACGGUAGAGGGGGAUGGAAUUCCGCGUGUAGCA
rnacentral:rRNA from 1 species